rnacentral:rRNA from 1 species
CAAGUAAUUAAGUGCAUGUGGUGGAUGCCUUGGCAGUCAGAGGCGAUGAAAGACGUGAUAGCCUGCGAAAAGCUCCGGGGAGGCGGCAAAUAUCCUUUGAUCCGGAGAUGUCUGAAUGGGGGAACCCACCUACUUUAAGGUAGGUAUUGCAACAUGAAUACAUAGUGUUGCAAGGCGAACGAGGGGAAGUGAAACAUCUCAGUACCCUUAGGAAAAGAAAUCAAUUGAGAUUCCCUCAGUAGCGGCGAGCGAACGGGGAUCAGCCCAUUAAGUUAUGUGUGUUUUAGUGGAACGCUCUGGGAAGUGCGAACGUAGAGGGUGAUAUUCCCGUACACGAAAGGGCACACAUAAUGAUGACGAGUAGGGCGAGGCACGUGAAACCUUGUCUGAAUAUGGGGGGACCAUCCUCCAAGGCUAAAUACUCCUGACUGACCGAUAGUGAACCAGUACCGUGAGGGAAAGGCGAAAAGAACCCCUGUGAGGGGAGUGAAAUAGAUCCUGAAACCGCAUGCAUACAAGCAGUGGGAGCACCUUCGUGGUGUGACUGCGUACCUUUUGUAUAAUGGGUCAGCGACUUAUAUUCAGUAGCAAGGUUAACCGUAUAGGGGAGCCGUAGAGAAAUCGAGUCUUAAUAGGGCGUUUAGUUGCUGGGUAUAGACCCGAAACCAGGCGAUCUAUCCAUGAGCAGGUUGAAGGUUGGGUAACACUAACUGGAGGACCGAACCCACUGUCGUUGAAAAGCCAGGGGAUGACUUGUGGAUAGGGGUGAAAGGCUAAUCAAGCCUGGUGAUAGCUGGUUCUCCCCGAAAGCUAUUUAGGUAGCGCCUCGGACGAAUACCAUAGGGGGUAGAGCACUGUUUCGGCUAGGGGGUCAUCCCGACUUACCAAACCGAUGCAAACUCCGAAUACCUAUGAGUACUAUCCGGGAGACAGACUGCGGGUGCUAACGUCCGUAGUCAAGAGGAAAACAAUCCAGACCGCCAGCUAAGGCCCCAAAAUCAUAGUUAAGUGGGAAACGAUGUGGGAAGGCAUAGACAGCUAGGAGGUUGGCUUAGAAGCAGCCACCCUUUAAAGAAAGCGUAAUAGCUCACUAGUCGAGUCGGCCUGCGCGGAAGAUGUAACGGGGCUAAAACUAUGUGCCGAAGCUGCGGAUUUGACAUUAGUCAAGUGGUAGGGGAGCGUUCUGUAAGCCGAUGAAGGUGUGUUGAGAAGCAUGCUGGAGGUAUCAGAAGUGCGAAUGCUGACGUGAGUAACGACAAAACGGGUGAAAAACCCGUUCGCCGAAAGACCAAGGGUUCCAGUCCAACGUUAAUCGGGGCUGGGUGAGUCGACCCCUAAGGCGAGGCCGAAAGGCGUAGUCGAUGGGAAAAUGGUUAAUAUUCCAUUACUUCUGUGUAAUGCGAUGAGAGGACGGAGAAGGCUAAAUCAGCCUGGCGUUGGUUGUCCAGGUGAAAGGAUGUAGGCAUGUAUCUUAGGCAAAUCCGGGGUACUCUAUGCUGAGAUCUGAUAGCAAGCUGUACUUGUACAGCGAAGUGGUUGAUGCCAUGCUUCCAGGAAAAGUCUCUAAGCUUCAGUUACACAGGAAUCGUACCCGAAACCGACACAGGUGGUCAGGUCGAGUAGACCAAGGCGCUUGAGAGAACUCUGCUGAAGGAACUAGGCAAAAUGGUACCGUAACUUCGGGAGAAGGUACGCUGUUGUUGGUGAUGGAACUCGCUUCCUGAGCUGACGACAGCCGCAGAAACCAGGCCGCUGCAACUGUUUAUUAAAAACAUAGCACUCUGCAAACACGAAAGUGGACGUAUAGGGUGUGAUGCCUGCCCGGUGCUGGAAGGUUAAUUGAUGGGGUUAGCGUAAGCGAAGCUCUUGAUCGAAGCCCCAGUAAACGGCGGCCGUAACUAUAACGGUCCUAAGGUAGCGAAAUUCCUUGUCGGGUAAGUUCCGACCUGCACGAAUGGCAUAAUGAUGGCGGCGCUGUCUCCAGCAGAGGCUCAGUGAAAUCGAAAUCGCUGUGAAGAUGCAGUGUACCCGCGGCUAGACGGAAAGACCCCGUGAACCUUUACUGCAGCUUGACACUGAACUUUGACCUUACUUGUGUAGGAUAGGUGGGAGGCUUUGAAGCUGGAACGCUAGUUCCAGUGGAGCCGUCCUUGAAAUACCACCCUGGUAAUGUUGAGGUUCUAACUCUGUCCCGUGAUCCGGGACGAGGACCGUGUCUGGUGGGUAGUUUGACUGGGGCGGUCUCCUCCUAAAGAGUAACGGAGGAGUACGAAGGUGCGCUCAGCGUGGUCGGAAAUCACGCGUAGAGUAUAAAGGCAAAAGCGCGCUUAACUGCGAGACCCACAAGUCGAGCAGGUACGAAAGUAGGUCUUAGUGAUCCGGUGGUUCUGUAUGGAAGGGCCAUCGCUCAACGGAUAAAAGGUACUCUGGGGAUAACAGGCUGAUACCGCCCAAGAGUUCAUAUCGACGGCGGUGUUUGGCACCUCGAUGUCGGCUCAUCUCAUCCUGGGGCUGAAGCAGGUCCCAAGGGUAUGGCUGUUCGCCAUUUAAAGAGGUACGCGAGCUGGGUUUAGAACGUCGUGAGACAGUUCGGUCCCUAUCUACCGUGGGCGCUGGAAAUUUGAGAGGAUCUGCUCCUAGUACGAGAGGACCAGAGUGGACGAACCUCUGGUGUACCGGUUGUGACGCCAGUCGCAUCGCCGGGUAGCUAUGUUCGGAAGGGAUAACCGCUGAAAGCAUCUAAGCGGGAAGCCUACCUCAAGAUAAGAUUUCCCUAGGACUUUAUGUCCUCUAAAGAGCCGUUCGAGACUAGGACGUUGAUAGGUUGGAUGUGGAAGCAUAGUGAUAUGUGAAGCUGACCAAUACUAAUUGCUCGUGAGGCUUGACUA